AUUGAACGCUGGCGGCAGGCUUAACACAUGCAAGUCGAGCGAGCGGCGGACGGGUGAGUAAUGUCUGGGAAACUGCCUGUUGGCGGGGGAUAACUAAUGGAAACGGUAGCUAAUACCGCAUACCAUCAGAUGUGCCCAGAUGGGUUUAGCUGGUAGGUGGGGUAAUGGAUCACCUAUGCGACGAUCCCUAGCUGGUCUUAGAGGAUGACCAGUCACACUGGAACUGAGACACGGUCCAGACUCCUACGGGAGGCAGCAGUGGGGAAUAUUGCACAAGGGGCGCAAGCCUGAGGCAGCCAUGCCGCGUGUGUGAAGAAGGCCUUCGGGUUGGAAAGCACUUUCAGCGAGGAGGCGUUACUCGCAGAAGAAGCACCGGCUAACGCCGUGCCAGCCGCCGCGGUAAUAC
rnacentral:rRNA from 1 species